rnacentral:rRNA from 1 species
GACGAACGCUGGCGGCGUGCCUAAUACAUGCAAGUCGAACGAACAGAUGGGAGCUUGCUCCCUGAUGUUAGUGGCGGACGGGUGAGUAACACGUGGGUAACCUGCCUGUAAGAUUGGGAUAACUUCGGGAAACCGAAGCUAAUACCGGAUAAUAUAUAAAACCGCAUGGUUUUAUAUUGAAAGAUGGCUUUUGCUAUCACUUACAGAUGGACCCGCGGCGCAUUAGCUAGUUGGUGAGGUAACGGCUCACCAAGGCGACGAUGAGUAGCCGACCUGAGAGGGUGAUCGGCCACACUGGGACUGAGACACGGCCCAGACUCCUACGGGAGGCAGCAGUAGGGAAUCUUCCGCAAUGGACGAAAGUCUGACGGAGCAACGCCGCGUGAGCGAAGAAGGCCUUCGGGUCGUAAAGCUCUGUUGUUAGGGAAGAACAAGUACCGGAGUAACUGUCGGUACCUUGACGGUACCUAACGAGAAAGCCACGGCUAACUACGUGCCAGCAGCCGCGGUAACAC